UCCGGUUUGUCACCGGCAGUCUCCCUAGAGUGCCCUUGCUGGCAACAUGAGACAAGGGUUGCGCUCGUUGCGGGACUUAACCCAACAUCUCACGACACGAGCUGACGACAGCCAUGCACCACCUGCACACAGACCACAAGGGAAUACCUAUCUCUAGGCACGUCCUGUGCAUGUCAAACCCAGGUAAGGUUCUUCGCGUUGCAUCGAAUUGAGCCACAUACUCCACCGCUUGUGCAGGCCCCCGUCAAUUUCUUUGAGUUUUAAUCUUGCGACCGUACUUCCCAGGCGGCAUAUUUAUCGCGUUGGCUACGCCACAAAAGGGGUCGAUUCCUUUUACAGCAAAUAUGCACCGUUUACAGCUAGGACUAC
rnacentral:misc_RNA from 1 species